rnacentral:misc_RNA from 1 species
CCGAGCCCGCCAGCUCCCAAACCCCCGAGAACAUACCGUGGACGUUGCUUCGGCGGGACCGCCCCGGCGCCCCCAGCGGCCCGGAACCAGGCGCCCGCCGGGGACCCAAACUCUGCCUUGGCCUGUGGCAUGCUCCGAGUCACCAGAAAUGAAUCA